AACGAACGCUGGCGGCAGGCCUAACACAUGCAAGUCGAGCGAGGACUUCGGUCCUAGCGGCGGACGGGUGAGUAACGCGUGGGAACGUGCCCUUUGCUUCGGAAUAGCCCUGGGAAACUGGGAGUAAUACCGGAUGAGCCCUUUGGGGGAAAGAUUUAUCGGCGAAGGAUCGGCCCGCGUUGGAUUAGGUAGUUGGUGGGGUAAUGGCCUACCAAGCCGACGAUCCAUAGCUGGUUUGAGAGGAUGCUCAGCCACACUGGGACUGAGACACGGCCCAGACUCCUACGGGGGGCAGCAGUAGGGAAUCUUAGACAAUGGGGGAAACCCUGAUCUAGCCAUGCCGCGUGAGCGAUGAAGGCCUUAGGGUUGUAAAGCUCUUUCAGCUGGGAAGAUAAUGACGGUACCAGCAGAAGAAGCCCCGGCUAACUCCGUG
rnacentral:rRNA from 1 species